GUGAGCCGGUGGGCAGGCGACGGGGUUACCCUGAGGAAGCUCCUCCCUCCACGCAGGAAACAUGGCACCGAGAGGUGCGGCGGGAGACCGUCGGCAAUGGAACAGAAACGACACCCUGCCGGGGAUGUGCGAUGAAGGCCGAAACCGGAGGUCCCCCGGCGACGGGCUGAAACGGCCAACCCAUGUGGAGCAAGGUCAAACAGGGUCCAUGACUGUCCUGCAGGAGACCCGGGUAGACCUCUUAGCCGAAUCCUGCCUAGAACAGAAGGAGGGCUACGGCCGGCACGC
rnacentral:RNase_P_RNA from 1 species